rnacentral:rRNA from 1 species
AGUGAACGCUGGCGGUAGGCCUAACACAUGCAAGUCGAACGGCAGCACAGUAAGAGCUUGCUCUUACGGGUGGCGAGUGGCGGACGGGUGAGGAAUACAUCGGAAUCUACUUUUUCGUGGGGGAUAACGUAGGGAAACUUACGCUAAUACCGCAUACGACCUACGGGUGAAAGCAGGGGAUCUUCGGACCUUGCGCGAUUGAAUGAGCCGAUGUCGGAUUAGCUAGUUGGCGGGGUAAAGGCGCACCAAGGCGACGAUCCGUAGCUGGUCUGAGCGGAUGAUCAGCCACACUGGCACUGAGACACGGUCCAGACUCCUACAGGAGGCAGCAGUGGGGAAUAUUGGACGAUGGGCGCAAGCCUGAUCCAGGCAUACCGGGUGGGUGAAGAAGGCCUUCGGGUGGUAAAGCCCUUUUGUUGGGAAAGAAAAGCAGCAGGUUAAUACCCCGCUGUUCUGACGGUACCCAAAGAAUAAGCACCGGCUAACUUCGUG